rnacentral:rRNA from 1 species
GGAUUAGAUACCCUAUUAUGACAGGAUAUAAACUAGAGUUUAAGUUAUACAUGGCGGUCUAUUAUCCAACUAGAGGGAUAUGCAUAUAAAGUGAAUCUACGCAUUAGACCUUUCUACAUAUAGAAAUAAAUCAUUUAGUUCAUUGCUGUCUGAAAUUUCUAAGAGAAGAUAGAAAUUUUAUUUGGAUUGAAUCUAAGGCAAGUUAGAUGCUGAUUAUGAUGUAGAACAUGUGUAUUCCAGUUUUAAAUAUGGAGUCUGUAGAGAAAUUAACGUUCUGAAAUAGAAUUUAGAAGUAAGUUUAAUUGAUUAUAUUUAACUGAAUAGGUUAUUUUAGAUGUACACAUCGCCCGUCGCUC